AUACGGGGGGUGCAAGCGUUAUUCGGAUUUAUUGGGCGUAAAGGGCGCGUAGGCGGCUUGGAAAGUCAGAUGAGAAAGCCCGGGGCUCAACCCCGGAAGUGCAUUUGAAACUAUCAGGCUUGAGUAUGGGAGAGGGAAGUGGAAUUCCUGGUGUAGAGGUGAAAUUCGUAGAUAUCAGGAGGAACACCGGUGGCGAAGGCGACUUCCUGGACCAAUACUGACGCUGAGGCGCGAAGGCGUGGGGAGCAAACAGGAUUAGAAACCCCGGUAGUCC
rnacentral:rRNA from 1 species